rnacentral:lncRNA from 1 species
UAGUUAUCUGCAUCUCACAACCAAGUUUGUAUAAUAAUACACAAGAUUGGCUGUAGACCAUUGUUAAUCAUUUACUGUGUAAAAAUAACAAAAACAAAAGUAAAUGCAAAAGUGCAUAAAUAUUUAUUUUACGUGUUUGAUGUGUGUGGCGGGGCGUGGUCUGCAGUGCCGCUGCAGGGGAGGUGGACCCACGGGCGUAAAGUCUGUGCUCUUUCGGCUGUUUUUGGGUGUGUGUCGGGCUGUCAGUUGAAAAGCUACAGCCGGCUGUGUGGGUACACCAAGCAUGUGUGAAAAGUGGUCCAUAACGUAUGCUUCAAAGCGUGUUCAUGCAAACAUUGUCGGGGUCUGCCGUGGUACAAUGGGACUUCUGCUCAUGAACCUGUGUGCACAGCGUCUGCAAAUCGGGGCUGUACAAAGUCACUUCAUCUUUACCCAAAACUGUAAGCUGUCAUCUGUGAGGCGCGAGCGGUGUUGUUUUAUCAUAAUUCAUGGUGGAGAAUGGCUGCUCUGCUGAGUUUUGCUCUCUGUAGCUGUAUGAAUGGCAAACUACACUGAUUACCAGCGGCAUAGGCACACAUAAAAUUUCUUCUGAAUUUUCCCUUUCUAGUUAUUAUUAUUAUUCUCCAGUUUCCGCCUGAAAUUUUGCAGCGAAUCUCGCCUCGCAGUUUUGAGACAAGCUUCAUAUAUGUUACCUC